rnacentral:tRNA from 1 species
GCCCGCCUAGCUCAAUCGGAUAGAGCGUCAGACUCUUACGAGUGCGGGUAUAACAGAUCCUGUCAUCUGAAGGCUGCGAGUUCGACCCUCGCGGUGGGCU